rnacentral:rRNA from 1 species
GACGAACGCUGGCGGCGUGCUUAAUACAUGCAAGUCAACUGAACUUAAGGUAGCAAUAUUUUAAGGGAGGUGGCGCACGGGUGAGUAACACGUAGGUAAUCUGCCUUUAGGUCUGACAUAACCUACCGAAAGGUAGGCUAAAAUCAGAUGAUGCAGCGGCUCGACAUCGAGACAGUUGUUAAAUCUUCGGAGCCUAAAGAUGAGCCUGCGUCUGAUUAGGUAGUUGGCGGUGUAAUGGACCACCAAGCCUGCGAUCAGUAGCUGGUCUGAGAGGAUGAUCAGCCACACUGGAACUGAGACACGGUCCAGACUCCUACGGGAGGCAGCAGUAAGGAAUAUUGCUCAACGGCCGAAAGGCUGAAGCAGCAACGCCGCGUGGAGGAUGAAAUACUUUGUAUGUAAACUCCUGUAAGAAGGGAAAAUGUUCCGAUUCAUCGGAAUUGAUUGUACCUUCAGAGUAAGCCCCGGCUAACUACGUGCCAGCAGCCGCGG